GUCUUACGAGACGUUCAUCAGCCAUACCACGAUUUGCGAAGACAUGUAAGUAACUUAGAGUAAGUGAACAGCGAAAGUUAAUAUUCAUGGAACACAGGAGCAAGAAUAAUUUUAAUUAUACUUCUCUUCCUUUCAAAGGGUGCUCGUAAUCUGAACCCCAUUCCCUACCAUGCAGAAUAUAUGGGCCAUAAACUGCACAUAGAUCAAAAUGAGAAGCUGAAGCAAGCCCUGGUGCACCUGACUGACCAAGAGGCCAUAGACAUGCAGGACAACACAGUGAAGUUCUGUGUGUCUAACCUGACGUGCCAACUCAGCCAGAUUGGGCUAGACAGGGUUGUGCAGACAUGGAAUGCACAUAGGAUUCCAGGUAGAGGAAUACCUAAUGAACUAGCUGCAGCAGGAUGUCCAGCACAGAUAUCGGAGGACCUGCUACCCAGUGCUUCUGUUGCUGCUGACAGAUAUGAGCAGGAGUUUGAAAGCUCUCACAGCAGGGAGGCAGCCUUUGGUGUGGACCCCUUUCACACUGAGGCAGAAAGGGACUUUGCGGUGACCUACCCUGAUCCCUCUGUCAUUUUUGACAAUGUGGUCAACAAUGACCAUAGUGCAUUUCAUGAAGCCCUUUUCUGCCUGCUGAAUGCCCCGGAGAGGAAUGUGUGAAAUGUUUUGAUGGAUGUGUGACUGCCGGUGUAUACUGUUCAGUGUUAAGUGUGAUUAACUGUAAAUGUUCUAAAUGAUGCUGUUAAUAAUGUAUGUGUUUAUCUGCCGUUUUCACAGUGGAGUGCUUGAGAGGGAUUUAUAGAACUGUCAUAACCGGACAGCUGCUAAAUAUUUUACAUUUGUCCAUCUACAUGUGAAUCACUAUUUUAUAACCAAACAAAAUAGUAUGUAAAAUUAAUGACAAUAGAACGAUUUUCAGAAAGAACUACAAUUUAAUGGGCAAAUAACCAUUUAACAUAACAUUUUAACACAUAAUAAUAGUUAUAAUUAAUUUAAAAUAGAAUAAAACAUAAAAAUGAAAAGUACAUUGAUACCUAACAAAACAUGAACAUUUGGUGAACAAAUGUGCCUCGUCCAGCCCCACCACUGGCUGCGUGUUGCCUCCGUAAAAGUCUCCACCUCUGCAAUUAGGGCAGUAGGUGUGGCUAACCUGCCAUUGCUCCACACAGCUGCUGCAGCCCAGGAUGGUUCUGCAGCAGCUGGCAAAUAUGGGCUCCUUCAUAGGAUCUGCAGUUUAAAUAGAGAAUUUUUAGAUUAGUGACUUUAAGGAGGCUCUUAGACUUUUUUGAAGAAUACUUUUUAAAAACUUUCAUGGUAAAUAAUAAUAACAUAUUAGAAACCUCCACAUAUGAUACAGGCAAAUGCUGCCUUCACAGCUGCCGCCUGGCUGUUACUCAGGCUUAUUGAUGUCCUUCGGUUUGCCUGUGCAAAAUUUGCAAGGUCUUGGAGCGUCUUGGAUACAUCUUUUAGACCCUGAGAAGCGAGGAUGACCUCCUCUAUUUGGUCAACGACCAAGGGAAGGUCUGUGUCCUCAUGUUGACUGAAAAAUAUACAGAACAUAUUGUUAAGAGUGUAUUAACUUGGACUUUCUUUUUUAUAUUAGGGAAGGAUAGUUGUUCUGUAUUUGUUUUGUAUUUAUUCAGUGACCUUUGGUAUGCAAUUGAUCACAGACGGCUUACCUACCUUUCUCUCCUUUUAUUAUUCUUCCCCCCCCCCCCCCCGGUUCUCUGCAUCUGGUCUUGGGGAACAGCAAAGAUCUUUCUUGCAUGCUGCUUCCAGAAUGCAGAUCCUGUAUUGUAUGGUUGUUUUAGCAUUAGUGUCUAUUGACAACACAGAGCAAUUGUGGUAAAAACAACAACACUUGAAAGGACCCAAUUUGAAAAGACAGUAGCCGGACAGACACUCUGUAGU
ensembl:lncRNA